AUGGCAGACAUGUAGGGACUGCUGGAAAGACUGGAGUGGGCUGUCAGCUGCCUGGAGUCGCUGUCUGCAGAGUCCCACAGGCCCCCUGGGGAUGGCGGGGUAAGCAAGAGUGUCUGUGGAGGUGUGGCACCCUCCGUGGAAGCCUUUGAUAAGCUGAUGAACAGCAUGGUGGCCAAGUUUUUAAAGAACAGUAGCAUCCUUGCUGGUGACAUGGAGACUUAUGCAGAAAGGGUGUUACAGGGCUUUCCUUCUGAUGGCAUCUCAUGACCAACAACCCCGAGAGAAUGCGUGGCUGCAUUUCUGAAACCCAAAUCAGAAAAGAUUCAGAAGUCCAAACCUUCAAAGAGAGAAACCGAGGGAGUAACAUGUUUAGUCAUCUCUCGGAUGUCAGCAAAAGCCUCCCUGCCCUUGGCUGCAUAACUGUGCCCCCCAACUUGGGUACUUACGUCAACGAGAUGUGUGAUGCUGCCACCUUUUACACUAACAGGGUCUUAAAGGGCUACAAACAUGAUUUACACCGUGUGGAUUGGGUGAGGUCAUAUGUGAACAUUUGGAGUGAGUUUCAAGCAUGAGUCAAGGAGCACCACACCACGGGCCUCACGUGGAGCAGAACAGGUCCGCAGCACCCACAUCAGCGCUUUCUGUUCUCUCCUGAGGGCCUGACCUUUCUCCACAUCCUCCUCACCUCCUCCAGGGCCCCUCCACUUUUUGAGAAUGAAGACACAAAAGAAAAGUCCUCUCCUUCAUGCUCAGCUUUAUUUGCCCGGUUUAACCAGGGAGAAGCCUAACCCUGCAGAACCAGGGCUCUGGCACAUCACUGAUGACCAGAAGGCCUAUAUAAGAAUCCCAGCCUGCAGGCUCACGGAGGGCAAAGUACGUCUCCCCACAGAAGCUACAUUCCAAGUCCCACAUCUCCCAAACCUCAUCCUUCCCAGCAACAUGCACCCGUGUUCAAGUUGGAAGGAAGUAAAUGGAGAGCAGAGUACCAAGAAGACAGGAAUGACCUUGUGAUUUCAGAGACUGAGCUGAAACAAGUGGCUUACAUUUUCAAUUGUGAAAAAUCAGCUCUCCCGAUGAAAGGGAAAGUAAACUCCAUUCCAGUGGAAAACUGUAAGAAGUUUGGUCUGGUCUUUGACAGUUUGGUGGGCAUUGGGGAAAUGACCAACUCCAAGUACAUUCAAAUCCAGGUAAUGGGGAGAGUACCAGCAAUUUCCACUAAUAAGACAGAAGGUUGCCACACAUACCUAACUCGGGGAAGAUGCAUUAGACUGUGAGAUUGUGAGCAUCAUAUCAUCCAAAAUGAAUAUACUUAUUCGUCAGGGUGGUAAUGACAGAGAAUUUCCUGUCCCUGAGCAGUUCAAGACAGCAUGGGAUGGAUCCAAGUUGGUCA
rnacentral:lncRNA from 1 species